UACAGAGGGUGCGAGCGUUAAUCGGAAUUACUGGGCGUAAAGCGUGCGUAGACGGUUAUUUAAGUCGGACGUGAAAUCCCUCGGCUUAACCGGGGAACUGCGUCUGAUACUGGAUGGCUUGAGUUUGGGGGAGGGACGCGGAAUUCCAGGUGUAGCGGUGAAAUGCGUAGAUAUCUGGAGGAACACCGGUGGCGAAGGCGGCGUCCUGGACCAACACUGACACUGAGGAGCGAAAGCCAGGGGAGCAAACGGG
rnacentral:rRNA from 1 species